GAAAGUGUGCAAGAAUUCUUUAAACCAAGGCAGGUACAUGAAUUUGAGCACCCUUGUCAUUUUAUUGAUUUGAAUACUUUUUUACAAUUCAAAUUCACACAGGUGAAUCCAAUUAUGAGAAAGGGUUAAAGAGCCAAACACACGUUUUUCUCCUCUUUGUAUCUUCUCUGAAGAGCAGCAACAUGGGAGCCUCAAAACAACUCAACUCAAAUGACCUGAAAACAAAGACAGUUCAACAUCAUGGUUUAGAGGAAGAAUAUAAAAAGCUCUAAUCUAAGAGAUUUCAGCUGCAGUUUCCACUGUGAGGAACAGAGUGAGGAAAUGGAAGAACCACAGACACAGUUCUAGUCAAGACCUGAAGUGUCAGAACAAGAAAAAUCUCAGAUAAUCAGAGGAGAAGGAUGGAGAGAACAGUUAUAGUCAACCUACAAACCUCCAGACCAGCUCCAAACACCUACAACUUCAUUAUCCUGCUGCAGAUAAGUGUCACUGUGCAUCGUUCACUAUUCACUAUUCAGCGCACUUUGCACAAGGAGAGGCUGUAUAGAAGAGAAAUGCAGAAGAAGCCAUAAACAGAGUCGCUUGAGGUAUGCUAAAGCUAAAGCACAUUUAGACAAGCCAGCUUCAUUCUGGAAUAAGGUUCUGUGGACUGAUGAAACUAAAAUUUUGGAGUUAUUUGGAGGAUGGUUAUUUAUGCAUGGAGGAAAAAGAACACAGCAUUCCAACACAAACACUUUCUUGCUCCUCACUGUAAAAUGUGGUGGUGGUUCCAUCAUGCUGUGGGACUGUGGGACCAGUGCAGGUACUGGGAAUCUUGUUAAAAUUGAGGAUCUCAUGGAUUCCAGUCAACAUUAGCAGAUUCCUGAGAACAAUGUUUAAGAAUCAGUGAGAAAGUUGAAGUUAAAGCGCCGGGGCUGGAUACUUCAACAAGACAACGACCCGAAACACUAAACACUGUUCAAAAUCUACUAAAGUAUUAAAGCAUUCAUGCAGAGGAACAAGUACAAUGUUCUGGAAUGAUCAUGUCAGAUCAUCCCAGUCCCCAGACCUGAAUAUUAUUGAAAAGCAGGCUGUUCAUGCUCAAAAAACCAUUAAACCUGACUGAAUGAUCCAAAAUACCUUCAACCAGAAGCCAGACUCUCAUUGGAAGCUAUAGGAAGAAUUUAGAUCAGGGGUGUCCAAACUUUUUUUGUUGGGGGCCAGAAGGAGAAAUAUAUUUGAAGUCACGGCCACAGACUCUGUAAUAAAACAAAUAAUGAAAUAUACCACUUUAAAUAAUACAUUUUCCUGAUUAUUUCAUUUACACACCAUUUUACUUUACUUACUAUCUUAUCUUUAACAGUGUUGUGUAAACUAAGAUUUUUCAAAUUGAUAUUUCAUUUCAUGAUGUCUCUUAAUAUUAAACUCUUUAAUUACGGCAACUUUUAGACUCUUUGGCCUGUUUUUUGCGCUAGAACUGCACACCCUCUCCGCUUUUAGACUCUUUGGCCCGUUUUUCUGUGCUAGAAAUGCGCACUCUCUCCGCUUUCAGACUCUUUGGCCAGUUUUUCUGCACUAAAACUUCACUCUCGUCGCUUUUAGACUCUUUGGCCUGUUUUCUGUGCUAGGACUGCGCACUCUCUCCGCUUUUAGACUCUUUGGCCCGUUUUUCUGCGCUAGAAAUGCGCACUCUCUCCGCUUUUAGACUCUUUGGCCAGUUUCUGACAUCUAGCGUUCAAACUUUGAAUCUCACAUUAUAAAAACCUGUUUAACAGCGGGCCAACUUUUAUUCUAUUUCUAAAAUACCUCACGGGCCGCUCCAAAAAAGGAAACGGGCCGCAAAUGGACCACAGGCCGUAGUUUGGACAUCCCUGGUUUAGAGGUUGUUAGUUUAAAUAAUUAUUGCACACUUUCUGAAAUCCUAUGAACAUCAUUUCACAUCUUAAAUAUCACUGUGUUCAUCUAAUAUAUGAUGUAUUUAACUGAAACUGCAGAUUUGAAAAGGAAAAUCAUGAAAAUGAUCAGGGGUGCCCAAACUUUUUUAUACAACUGUAUAUACUAACUUACAGCAGUAUAUAGUUAAACGGUGAAUUAAGAUAAAUGUACAGUUCAUUUACAUAUAGAGAAAGUAAAUGUUUUAUUUGAGCAGGAAAUUCAUGAUACAGUAUGUCUGUGUUUUUUGGAAGACACCAGUAGAUUCUGGCAGCAGGAGUUAUUAUUGUUAUUAUUGUGUAACAGUGUAAAAUGACUGUAUGCAGUUCUGCAUUUCUACCACUCGGAGCUCUGCUGUUUCCUCCUGUUCUUCAGAGUCCAGAUUUACAGAACCGGACCGUUACUCUACUGCUGUGAGAAGAAGGAGAUCCACCUCAUUACAUCAUUGUCAUCAUCAUCAUCAUCUUCUGCUUCUGAGUCAUGAGGUUCUGGUGUGGUUCUCUCCUCCUGGGUCUGCUGAUCGUCCUCCACCUUCAGUCCUGUGUGGAGGCAUGCUAUGCACAGGCACCACUGACAUGCUGUUUCGGUUUCUAUAAGGGAAAAAUGCCUCUAGACCAAAUUGAGAAGUAUGAAGUAUUGAGAGGUGCCUGUCCACAUCCUGGAGUUGUUUUCACGAGAUGGGCGGGUAACCGUGUGUGUGCAGACCCUAAAGAGGACUGGGUGAAGGCGGCCAUGGCUCAGAUUGAUAAACGAGCUGAUUAAAGUUAAACUGAUCUCAGCUGAGAGAUUAAAUCAUCUCUAUGUUAAUAUCAGAUCAUCUCCUUCUUCUCUAUCCUGCUGAUUAUUACAGAUUAAUACUGUUUAUUACAUUUUUUAAAUGUGAAAUUUAUGUAUUUAUAUUUAUUUAACACAAUUGCUAUACAUACUAAUAUGUUUUUGUUUAUUCACAAAUAUUUUAAUGAAUGCAUUUUACACAUAAUUAUUUUCUACUUGGGGAAGCACAUCUGUCUCUGAUUAAACAGUUUUACUGAUUUUUUUUGUUUUGUUUUUUUUUUUACUUUUUUUUUACUAAAGAUUCUGUUUAGACUUUUUUUUUUUUUUUUGCUAUUUCAUGUUUCAUUAAUUAAAUGUGUAAAAUCAGUUCUGAUGUAAAUGUAAAAAGUCUGUAGUCUUUUAGAAUAAAUUGAACAAUGAAAAAAAAAAA